rnacentral:rRNA from 1 species
AGAGUUUGAUCCUGGCUCAGGAUGAACGUUGGCAGUGUGCCUAAGACAUGCAAGUCGAACGAAGCGCUAGUGCGGAACUCUUCGGAGGGAAGGAUUAGUGACUGAGUGGCAAACGGGUGAGUAACACGUGGAUGACCUACCCUGAAGUGGGGGAUAACCUUGGGAAACCAGGACUAAUCCCGCAUGUGCUUGUUGGUUGUGACCAAUAAGGAAAGAUUUAUUGCUUUAGGAUGGGUCCGCGGGCCAUCAGCUAGUUGGUGAGGUAAAGGCUCACCAAGGCAACGACGGCUAGCCGGCCUGAGAGGGUGAACGGCCACAGGGGUACUGAGACACGGACCCCACUCCUACGGGAGGCAGCAGUUAGGAACCUUCCGCAAUGGGCGCAAGCCUGAUGGAGCGACACUGCGUGAGGGAAGAAGGCUUUCGGGUUGUAAACCUCUAAAAGUAGGACGAUAAUGACGGUACUACUUGAGAAGCACCGGCUAACUCCGUGCCAGCAGCCGCGGUAAUACGGAGGGUGCAAACGUUAUCCGGAAUCACUGGGCGUAAAGGGCACGCAGGCGGUUAGUUAAGUCCGAUGUUAAAGCGUGGGGCUCAACCCCAUACGGGCGUUGGAUACUGGCUAACUAGACUCUUGGAGAGGUAAGUAGAAUUACCAGUGUAGCGGUGGAAUGCGUAGAUACUGGUAGGAAUACCAAUAGCGAAGGCAGCUUACUAGACAAUGAGUGACGCUGAGGUGCGAAAGUGUGGGGAGCAAACCGGAUUAGAUACCCGGGUAGUCCACACCCUAAACGAUGCAUACUUGGUGUUGGUGCGCAGGCAUCAGCGCCGGAGCAAACGCGUUAAGUAUGCCGC